rnacentral:rRNA from 1 species
AUACAGAGGGUGCGAGCGUUAAUCGGAAUUACUGGGCGUAAAGCGCGCGUAGGCGGUCUAUUAAGUCAGAAGUGAAAUCCCAGGGCUCAACCUUGGAACUGCAUCUGAUACUGGUAGACUAGAGUUUUGGAGAGGGAAGUAGAAUUUCAGGUGUAGCGGUGAAAUGCAUAGAGAUCUGAAGGAAUACCAGUGGCGAAGGCGACUUCCUGGCCAAAAACUGACGCUGAGGUGCGAAAGCGUGGGUAGCAAACGGGAUUAGAUACCCCAGUAGUCC